AAUAGAUACCCUGGUAGUCCACGCCGUAAACGAUGAGUGCUAGGUGUUGGGGGCAUCACGUCCUCAGUGCCGAAGGAAACCCAAUAAGCACUCCGCCUGGGGAGUACGGCCGCAAGGCUGAAACUCAAAGGAAUUGACGGGGGCCCGCACAAGCGGUGGAGCAUGUGGUUUAAUUCGAAGCAACGCGAAGAACCUUACCAAGGCUUGACAUCCCAUUGACCGCGCUAGAGAUAGUGCUUCCCUUCGGGGUAAUGGUGACAGGUGGUGCAUGGUUGUCGUCAGCUCGUGUCGUGAGAUGUUGGGUUCAGUCCCGCAACGAGCGCAACCCUUAUCCUUAGUUGCCAGCAGGUAAAGCUGGGCUCUCUAAGGAGACAGCCGGUGAAAGCCGGAGGAAGGUGGGGAUGACGUCAAAUCAUCAUGCCCCUUACGUCUUGGGCUACACACGUGCUACAAUGGAUGGUACAAAGGGCAGCAAAACCGCGAGGUCGAGCAAAUCCCAUAAAGCCAUUCUCAGUUCGGAUUGUAGG
rnacentral:rRNA from 1 species